UGCCUUACACAUGCAAGUCGAACGGUAGAGUAGCAAUACUUGAGAGUGGCGAACGGGUGAGUAAUAUAUCGGAACGUGCCCAACUGUGGGGGAUAACGUAGAGAAAUUUACGCUAAUACCGCAUACGAUCUAAGGAUGAAAGCGGGGGAUCGCAAGACCUCGCGCAGUUGGAGCGGCUGAUAUCAGAUUAGCUUGUUGGUGAGGUAAAAGCUCACCAAGGCGACGAUCUGUAGCUGGUUUGAGAGAACGACCAGCCACACUGGGACUGAGACACGGCCCAGACUCCUACGGGAGGCAGCAGUGGGGAAUUUUGGACAAUGGGCGAAAGCCUGAUCCAGCAAUGCCGCGUGCAGGAAGAAGGCCUUCGGGUUGUAAACUGC
rnacentral:rRNA from 1 species